rnacentral:tRNA from 1 species
GAACUUAUAAUUCAAUGGUAGAAUGAUACUUUGAUAAGGUAUAUAUAAAGGUUCGAUCCCUUUUAAGUUCA